GACGAGGUGGCCAAAUGGUAAAGACGAUAGUCUGCUAAUAAAUUUUAGUCUCUAAGCGUGGCUUUGAAUCCUAUCCUCGUCG